AGAGGUGCCCUAGAGUUUGCAAUAUACAUUUACAAGUAAUCUAAUUCUGCUUUUUUUUUUAAAUUCUACUUUCAAGUAACACUAUACUACUUCAUAGAGAGUGCAGGUACCUUAUAACAAGGUAUUUCCAACUCUUCCCUCCCAUCCCUUAUAGCACUGUUGUCAUUCAUUUCACCUAUCUAUAUGCUAUAAUCGCCCAGAACAUUGUUGCUAUGAUUGCUUUGAAGAAACAGUAAUUGAUUAGAUAAAUUAAGAAUUAGAGAGUUGUAUGUCAAUUAUACUUCAAUAAUAGAAAAGAAUUAGAAAAACAAGCUAUUUUUCUUUGCCUUCGUUUAUUUCUUCCCAGGUAUUCUUCCUUUCUUUAUGUAGAUCUGAGUUUCUGACCUGUAUCAUUUUGUUUUUCUCUGAAGAACUCUUAACAAACCUUGUAGUAUAGGUGUAAUGGUGACUCCCUCAGCUUUUGUUUGUCUGAGAAAAUCUAUUUCUCCUUCCUAUUUGAAUCAUGAUUUCACUGAAUACAAUUUUUUAUACAAUUUUUUUAUGUUGGUAGUUUUCCUUUAAAAAUCUUAAAUAUAUCACUCUACUCCCGUUACAUUUGCAUGGUUCUUCACUAGAAGUCUGAUGUCAUUCUUAUAUUUGUUCUUCACAGGUAAAAUGUUAUUUUUAUCUGGCUUCUUUCAAGAUUUUCUCUUUGCUUUUGCUUUUCUGAAGUUUGAAUGUGAUAUGUAUAAGUGUAAUUAUUUUUUGGUAUUACUCUUAUUUGAUAUUCUAUGAGCUUUCUGAAUCUAUGGUUUGGUAUCCGUCAUUAAUUUUGAAAAAUUUAUAGUCAAACAUUUCUUUCAUUCCUUUCUUUCCUCUCUUUCCCGUAUUCCCAUUACAUCUAUGUUAUCCCUUUUCUAAUUGUCCCACAGUUCUUGGAUAUUAUCUUUUUUUUUAAUCUUUUCUCUUUGCAUUUGAGUUUGGGAAAUUUCUGCUGAUGUGUCUUCAAGUUCACAGAUUCUUCCCUCAGCAGUGUCCAGUCUUUGAAAUGAGCCCAUUAAAAGCAUUUUUCAUUUCUUUUAUAGUCUGUUUUCUAGCAUUUACUUUUGAUUCUUUUUUAGAUUUUCCAUAUCUUUGCUUACAUUAUUCAUCUGUUCUUAUAUGUUAUCUACUUUUUUCCUUGGAUUCUUUGAUACAUUAAUCAGAGUUAUUUAAAAUUCCCUAUCUAAUAAUUCCAAAAUAUGUGCCAUAUCUGAGUUAGUUUCUGAUGUUUGCUUUUCUUUUCAGAACAUGUUUUUUUGUAUUUUUUUUAACACAGCUGGUACAUUUUUGGUGUAAGCCAGAUAUGAUAUAUUAGGUAAUAGGAGCAGGUAAUGAGAUUUUUACACUUGAUCUUAGCCAAAAGGCCGAGAAGCAAUGUGAUUUUUGGUGAGGUUGUAUGAUAAUAUUUCUCCUAGGAGAUAGGCUGUGUUUAAUGUUUGCUGUAGCUGUAGGUGCCAUAGGCUUCAGCUUCCUCUAGUUUCCAUGUGUUUCUUUGUUUUGUUUGUUUUUACUCCCCUUGUCUUUGUGCUUAACUAAGUUCUUAAAUUGAGUCUGUCUUACAGGUGUCUCAGCUGUAAUCUACUGACAUACUGAGGUCCUGCUGAUGUGAUGAAAGAAAAUUUUCUCUCAUCUUCAAGGCAAGAAUCUGGUGAGAUUGCUAGAGGUUAAACCCAUGAACAUGUGGGGGUCUCUCUAAGACUGGGCCCUAGGAGUUUCUAACUCUCAAGCUAGUCUAUAUUCAGUCUCCAGAAAUUCAUCAAAAUUAUCAUGUGAGUGUUCCUACCCAUUUAUGUCUACAGUGCCUUCUGCCUCAGAUAAACUGAUCUCAGCUGUGGUUCUCUAUAUUCACCAGUCUUUCUAGAUUUGGGUGUGGCAAUUUGCUCUGUAACUUCAGUUCUUUGAUGGAUCUAAGAAAAGUUACUGCUUUUCAGCUUGUUCGUGUUUUUCUUGUUGUAAGCAUGGGAGUGACAACUUCCAAGCUCUUUACAUGUCAUUCUCAAAAAACAUAUUUUAACACCCUUAUUGAAUUGUAUUUUACAUAUUAUAAAAUCCGCCUAUUUCAAAUGUA